AGGAUUAUAGUUUAUCUAAAACAUUUGAUUUGCACUCAAAAAAUAUUGAUUCCAAUUUAUCUUA
rnacentral:tRNA from 1 species